rnacentral:rRNA from 1 species
AUGCUUACGAGAAAGGAGCACCAUCACAAGGACAGCAAUUUAGUAGCCAGCAAGUAUGUACUCCAAAGACUAUUUGUUUUUACAAUAUCACAAAUAGGUGUCAUGGAACCUCAUUCAUUUAGCUAUUGUUAUCAACGGGGUUUUAUUUUGUUUACACAGAUUGAAAUGGUAGUUGAAGUCAUGAAUGCACGCAUUGCUGAUCAUGAAAAGAAGGUAUGCAGGAAGUUAAUGGAAAUUGAGCACAGAUUUGAUGUCAAAUACCAGACUCUAGGUGAAGACUUGAUCGACAUGAAGACUAAAACUGGCACUAAUCCUAGGUUGUCGAAGGCCGAGGAUGAAAUUAAAGACUUAAGGAGGGAACUCCAUGUAUGUCAUACUGUGCAUUUUGUAUUUUUUAUGAAUAUGCUCCUUCAUGUUCAUUUCAAUGUGUGCAAUUCAUCCCUGACAGGAACUCCUAGGACUAGCUAA